UUUACAAAUCUAGAGAUUAUACUGCAGAAAAAUUACUGUAUGCACAAUAAUAAUGACUGUCUGAGUAGUUAGUCAAAACAGCUUGUGUCUUACAUUAGCCAACGUAUAUCUCUAAAUUCAAAGUGGUAGCAAUUAUUAUAAUUAUUAUAAUUGGUGCUUUGUUUUAUAAGUACAAUUGUGCAUACCAUUCACUUGUAACAACACCGUGUUUACCCAAUAUAAAGGGAGUUCUGCUUUAAUAUCUUAUCUGAGAGUAAUCAACAUCAUCCCUGUUUUAAAUAGAGAAAAGAAAGUGGUUUCAUGGCAGUUACAUGAAGAGGAAGAAGUCAGCGCCAGGCACUGAAUUAAAUUACACAGUCGAACUAGUAGAACAAGCUGAAGCUAAAAACUGAUUGCAGGUAUCUGCAAAGUCUACAGGCAAACAUCUGGCUAUGUUUUUGUCCUUCAGGUAUAAUAGAUUUUGCUAAGAACAGCACCAUCAAAAAUCCCAUAAGAGCAAAUUGGCCUGGGAGAAAAUUAGAAGGAAAGACUGCACAAACCAUGCCAAACUCUGAUGACCUGUUGCUGCAUGACUGAAAAGUGUCUUGUGAGGGACUGCGUUUACCCUACGGUCAUUGACCUUUACUGAAUCACUUCACUAAUGUUUGAUGCAGAAUGAUCUUCAGCUGAUUGGGAUGCUGUAAGUAUAUCCUUUAACAUUUAUCAUCACGACUGAUUGAUUGACAAGCCUUACAUCAUGCACAGUUCUACUCCUUUCAGUAGUAAUCUCUAAAACUGUGGCUGUUGAAGAACUAUAUGAAAAAAUAUUAUACAGAAAAGCAUAUCAGGUGUAAAUAUUUGAAUAAACACAAAAUAAAAUAUUCUAGAGAGCUUCAACCAGAUGGCUGCGUGAGGACAGAAUGGCUGUUUUAUUCUUCUCCACAACAAGGGAAUAUUUACUUUGUCACAUCCUUUACAAUAAUUUACAUCCAGUAGCACAAGACACUUAAAAAUUUCAGACACUGCCGUCCACAUAGUAAUGCCAUUAGGAAUUGUUUUCAGGGAUCAGUAUACUCAAACCUUAUUGUUCACAUGUCACAGUGUGAGUGAAAGUUCUGACUAUAUAUAAAACAUAUGUUUUAUCAUCGAUUAAACACAGCUAUGCUGAUCAGGCCCUGGCAAUAACAGUUCAGGCUUCUGAGUGUUGUUGUUUGAUGUCUCAUGAGAGUAAAAUUUAGAAGACAACUUGAAACUUAGGAGCAUCCAUUUUGAUGACUGCAGAUCACUUGGAGAGAAACCAGAGAACAAUAUGAAUAUUCAAAGCUCUAGGAGAUGUGACCUAUCACAUCUGUGUUACUUAGAGAAGACAGACAUGAAUGAGUAAUGACAAUGGACUUCAAGUGCAGGAAAGGUAGCUGCAGUCAGAAAGAGGAUGAAGUGGUCUUCAUGAUUAACCAAUGUAGUACAAGAAGUAAUGAGAGGCUAUUUCAACAUGAAUUAGUUUAAAAAACUUUUGUAGUUGCAGAAAUAGGCAAGCAGUGGAACAGACUGUUGGGACAGAUUGUAGGAACCCUGUCAGUGGAAGACGUUAUGAACAAAAUAAGAAAACAUACAUUGCUAUCUAGGUUACUGGAGGUAAUCUUCCAGGAGAGAAGGGAGGGAACUGAUGUCAUGUUGCCUGUUUUUCCUUGGUUCUAUGGCAUAGUUCAGAUAUAUAUCAAGAGGCCAUAUGGCAGUCAGAGAAUUAUUGUCUAGCAGACUGCAGCAGGAACGGGAAAGGAGCAUGUCCUGCAUGAAACACCAACAGCAGUGCUCUCCACCCCUCCCAUCCUGUCCAUGGUUUACCAUGAAGAGGAAGAUAGUCAAGAAGACACUUGGAUUCUCCAAAUUCUCAAGGACUGUCUCAGAACAGCGAACCUUUUUAAAGAGAGUGGUUUCUGGCAACAACUGAUGGCUGAAGAGGUUACAAGGCAAAGGUUUGUUUGUUUGGUUUGUUUUGUUUUGUUUCCUCCAAAACUGAUACAUAUAACCAGCUUGUUACUCUUCUCAUGCAAGUAAGACAAAUCAUACUCCAGACUGAAAAAAAUCCCCUCAUACAAAACCUGUCCCUAUGGGUUUUUAGCAAAGUGGGGCAUGGGGGGAAUACCCUGAGGGUAUAGUAUUGAAUUGAUCACGUUUAGCUCUGUUGACUUUUUACAUUAAAUAGUAAUCCAUGUAAUUUGGGUAACUUAUUUAUUUAUUCAGUUAAUAAAUACUACUUGACUGUAAGCACUGGCCAGAACACAUUCAAAAUAACAACUGUAAGAAAUGAAUGGAUUUCUAAAUAUGGAACCUUAUUUUCCAUUAAUUUGUGGUAAAAUCUUGCAGCCUACAUCCAUAGAUAAUAUCUGCAAACUGUCUGCAUGAUGUCUCAGUCCUUCAGGAAAUUUCUUUAGAUGACAUCCCAGAGGUAAGGGGGAGAGUCUUCAACUGCAAACCCACCACUCCAAGGAAAACCAGCUCAAUGGGGUCCCUGGCAGGCUCUAUGUAUACCCUAGUUGAAUCCAAGUUUGUGGUCAUUUAUGGCAGCAGUCUAGAAACUUGUCUCAAGCAAGGCAUUUCAUUGACCAGGUGCCCUGUCUGUUGACCAAGGGGCAUGUACAUUGACCAUAGUGGCUUUUGGGGAGAAGGAUGUGUAGGUGUGCCUGCCACACUUAGUAUCUCCAAUGACAGAACUAUAUGUUCUCUUGUCUAGCAAUCUACUAAAUGGCUGUUGUUUUUUUGACUGUCACGGUGACAUUUGCUCUUCACUGCAAGUUAGGAAAAAUAUUCCAAGUCCUUUUGUUGUAGCUUGAUAAAAGUAAACUUUUCAGUUCUAUAAUUAGUGAUCAUCAUGUCACCUUGCAUGGGGAUAAACUGAUAUCUAGGUCCUCUUUUACAAAACAUUUCUGAAAAGCAGCAGUGAUUUUAUUUGAUAGAGAAACAAUGUUAUUAUAAACCUUCAGCAUAAAAGAGACAAGUUUAUUUGGAAAGAAAAGGACUGUAGUGGUGAUCUGCGUGCAAGAGAGUAGGGUGCUAAUCAGUACUGUAUCUAUCAUACUCCACAAUCAAUACACUGAAGUAAAAAAGAAAUAGAAAAAAGAAAAAGAGACCAGAAGGUUGGCUUACAACCAAGCUGUAUUAUAUUGGCUGCAGAACAGAGACAUGAAGCAGCUAUUGAAAAUAACAAGCCCAGCUGCUUCUCUCUUCAGGUAAAACAUGACAUCAUAGUUGAUGUUUAUCAACCACAUACAGUGUGAUGGGAAGUGUACAAAUGUUUCCGAGGCCUGACCAUUCCCACAUGCAUAGGAGCACUGAAGUCUUUUUAUGUGUGAGAAACACUCUAUAGGUCUGACACAAAUAAAGGAAAGAAAAAGGCUUUUAAUGUCCUGUUUGGAGCCUUGGUUAGUACUUACUUUUUGGUGAAAAGGCUUUGGUUACUGUCAAAAGAUAAAAAUAAAAAAACGAAGGUUUCUAUGGAAAUAUGCCAGUUUCCUUGAAACUUUCUCCAUGAAUCUGCACUUUUCAGCUGCAGUGUGACACUGGAGGAAAAGGAGCACGGCAGAGGAACAGGCAGCCUUCCCCUGACAGCUCAGGUGAGUUCUACAUUUCCAGCCUGGAUCACAGAGAUAAGUGAAUUGGAUGUAUGCCUCCCACCUUCCUCAGCCACUGAGCUAUUUAUCCACUGGAAAGAGGAUUUUUUUCUGCACCUGUUAUUUUGCUUUUAAAAACACAUGUUUAUAUUGGGUUUUGCCCCAGUUAGGCAGUGAUACAGGCUGAAGGUUUGCAAACAUUUGGAUGCCCAUCAAACAUUCUAGCCAGGCUCUUUUAUCCCAGAAUCAUGUUUCUGGGGUAGAAUUAAAACAGAAUCAGGGCAUGACACCAGUCACUACGAGCAUACAUAUUCAGAUACGCAUGCAUGAAGGGACACACUCUUGAGCAAAUUGAAUUUCUCUCCACAGUGUGAAACGGAAGAAUAUAUUCUUCUGUUUAUUUUUUUUUCCAGGAUUUGUGGAAAAAGCUUUUGGGAAAAGGACAAUUACAGACUUCAAAGCUAAAUAAAUAAAUUUGUAGAGUUUUAUUAAUUGGCUGUAUUUAUGGGGUCCAAAUUAUCUCUCUUUUCUUUAGUAUGGAUCAUUUUGCAUUUACUGCCUGAAACAAUCAGUGGCUAUUAGACAUUACUUAUCACUUCCUGUAAAUUUUGACAAGCUUCCUCUUUGGAAAACUGAAAAAAAAAAAAAAAAAAAAAGUUCAAUUGUUUAUUCUGGACUCCCCAGUCUGAAGAAAUAUGUUGUUACAAUACAUGAUUUGAACAAGGCUUUAGAAAUCAUUAGAAUUAGACUUCUAUGGGAAAAUUCAGGUUGUCUAAAUUGAGGUUUUAGUUACAUCAGUCUCAGAGGUUCAGCCAGCCUGUUUCCAAGUGGCAACAUUUCUGAAUGCACCUGAAAAGGCAGAAAGAGCUAAUGUGGAUCCCAAGUUCCAUCCAUGACCAAGCAGAGCUCAGAAGGAUUUAUUGUGAAAUGCUGACCUUGCCAGCUAAUGAUGGAUAGGAUGUCUGAACACCGAGACAUGCUGCAGCCAAAAGGUGAGCUGGCAAGACCCAAAUGAACAUCCAUUGUUUUGAAUCUCAGGUGGAAGUAUCACAGUAUGUUUGGGAUUGGAAGGGACCUCAAAAGAUCAUCUAGUCCAAUCCCCCUGCUGGAGCAGGAACGUCUAGAUGAGGUCACACAGGAACAUGUCCAGGCGGGUUUUGAAUGUCUCCAGAGAAGGAGACUCCACAACCUCCCUGGGCAGCCUGUUCCAAUGCUCUGUCACCCUCACUGAGAAGAAGUUUCUUCUCAAAUUUAAGCGGAACCUCUUGUGUUCCAGCUUGAUCCCAUUACCCCUUGUCCUAUCAUUGUUUGCCACCGAGAAGAGCCUGGCUCCAUCCUCAUGGCACUCACCCUUUAUAUAUUUAUAAACAUUGAUAAGGUCCCCCCUUAGUCUCCUCUUCUCCAAACUAAAGAGACCCAGCUCC